rnacentral:rRNA from 1 species
ACGGGAGGCAGCAGUGGGGGAUAUUGGGCAAUGGGCGAAAGCCUGACCCAGCAACGCCGCGUGAAGGAAGAAGGCCUUCGGGUUGUAAACUUCUUUUACCAGGGACGAAGGACGUGACGGUACCUGGAGAAAAAGCAACGGCUAACUACGUGCCAGCAGCCGCGGUAAUACGUAGGUUGCAAGCGUUGUCCGGAUUUACUGGGUGUAAAGGGCGUGUAGGCGGAGAGGCAAGUCAGAUGUGAAAUUCCCGGGCUUAACUUGGGCGCUGCUUCUGAAACUGCUUAACUUGAGUACUGGAGAGGAUAGUGGAAUUCCUAGUGUAGCGGUAAAAUGCACAGAUAUUAGGAGGAACACCGGUGGCGAAGGCGGCUAUCUGGACAGUAACUGACGCUGAGGCGCGAAAGCACGGGGAGCAAACAGGAUUAGAUACCCUGGUA